rnacentral:rRNA from 3 species
CCUUGGGUCGUAAACCGCUUUUAACAGGGAAGAAUAACUGACGGUACCUGUUGAAUAAGCCUCGGCUAACUCCGUGCCAGCAGCCGCGGUAAUACGGAGGAGGCAAGCGUUAUCCGGAAUUAUUGGGCGUAAAGCGUCCGCAGGUGGCCCAGCAAGUCUGCUGUUAAAUCCCAGGGCUCAACCCUGGAGCGGCGGUGGAAACUGUUGAGCUAGAGUGCGGUAGGGGCAGAGGGAAUUCCCAGUGUAGCGGUGAAAUGCGUAGAUAUUGGGAAGAACACCAGUGGCGAAGGCGCUCUGCUGGACCGCAACUGACACUCAUGGACGAAAGCUAGGGGAGCGAAAGGGAUUAGAUACCCCUGUAGUCCUAGCCGUAAACGAUGAACACUAGGUGUUGGACGUAUCGACCCGUUCAGUGCCGUAGCCAACGCGUUAAGUGUUCCGCCUGGGGAGUACGCACGCAAGUGUGAAACUCAAAGGAAUUGACGGGGGCCCGCACAAGCGGUGGAGUAUGUGGUUUAAUUCGAUGCAACGCGAAGAACCUUACCAGGGCUUGACAUGUCGCGAAUCUUUGUGAAAGCAGAGAGUGCCUUCGGGAGCGCGAACACAGGUGGUGCAUGGCUGUCGUCAGCUCGUGUCGUGA